rnacentral:rRNA from 1 species
AACAUGUGCGCGAGUCAUGCUAACGAGGAUUUUCCACAAGAAACGGCGAGUGAAGCAGGAAAUAGCCCAGCACGGAUCCCCUCUGCGGGCUCGCGUGAGCGGGAAGUGGUGUUAGGAGGCGGGCGCUGGUUCGCGGUCCUCGGUGCCAGGUCCUCGUGAUCGUGGCCUUCGCCCCGUCGAGGCUGUAAGGCCCUUCGUGGCACCGCACUCCGACGCCGCCAGAAACUCCCGGAGUCGGGUUGCUUGGAUCGCAGCCCAAAGUGGGUGGUAAACUCCAUCUAAGCCUAAAUACCGGACACGAGCAAGUGAAGAAUUCACGAACUCGCGGGUAACGGCGGGAGUACUAUGACUCUCUUAAGGUAGCCAAAUGCCUCGUCAUCUAAUUAGUGACGCGCAUGAAUGGAUUAACGAGAUUCCCACUGUCCCUAUCUACUAUCUAGCGAAACCACAGGCAAGGGAACGGGCUUGCCAUUCAAACAGCGGGGAAAGAAGACCCCUGUUGAGCAAGGGCCCUUCUGGCGCUGCGAGGCGUGCGGGUGCACUUGCUCCGGUUCGAGGGCCACGACCGGUUCAAUUCGCAGGCAGUCUGGAGUCGGGGCGGUUUGGCGUCGCUGCCGGGUGCCCGUCCUCGUGACCCGCUCGCGGAGGCGCGCCGCUUCGGUCGGACACUCGUCUGGGGACCGAGGACGCGUAUGGCCGGUGUGUCGGGACGCGGGCGUUCUCGUCCGGAGCUCGUGGUGUUGGGGUCGGCUCUCGUGGUCGGCUCCUCGCCGUAACAGCGACACUCCGGCGAGCUCUUGCCCCGUGCCGGCGCGCCGUCAGAGUGUCGGUGGCGGAUCAGGUCGGUACUCCACCCCACCCGUCCCGAGAAACACGGACCAAGGGAGUCCAGCAUGUGCGCGAGUCGACGGGAUUUCACGAAACCCCACGGCGAAAUGAAAGUGAAGCCGCCUACGGUUGGCCUAGGCAGGAUCCCUUUCCCCGCGGGGGAGGGGCGCACUGCCGGCCCGUCUCGAUCGCUUCUGACGGCGAGGCGGAGCAAGAGCGCACACGCUGGGACCCGAACGAUGGUGAACUAUGCAAUGAGGCAGGACGAAGUCAGGGGACCCCUCUGAAA